rnacentral:rRNA from 1 species
UUACGGGAGGCAGCAGUCGAGAAUUUUUCACAAUGGGCGCAAGCCUGAUGGAGCGACGCCGCGUGGGGGAUGAAGGGCUUCGGCCCGUAAACCCCUGUCAUUUGCGAACAAUUCUUUUCCGAUAACACCGGAAAAGUUGAUGGUAGCGAAAGAGGAAGGGACGGCUAACUCUGUGCCAGCAGCCGCGGUAAUACAGAGGUCCCAAGCGUUGUUCGGAUUCACUGGGCGUAAAGGGUGCGUAGGUGGUGAGGUAAGUCGGAUGUGAAAUCUCUGAGCUCAACUCAGAAAUGGCAUUGGAAACUACCUUGCUAGAGGAUUGGAGGGGGGACUGGAAUUCUCGGUGUAGCAGUGAAAUGCGUAGAGAUCGAGAGGAACACCAGUGGCGAAGGCGAGUCCCUGGACAAUUCCUGACGCUGAGGCACGAAAGCUAGGGGAGCAAACAGGAUUAGAUACCCCGGU